AGUGUAGGCGGUUACUUAAGUCGGAUGUGAAAUCCCCGGGCUCAACCUGGGAAUUGCAUUCGAUACUGGGUAGCUAGAGUUUGGUAGAGGUAAGUGGAAUUCCGGGUGUAGCGGUGAAAUGCGUAGAUAUCCGGAGGAACAUCAGUGGCGAAGGCGGCUUACUGGACCAAAACUGACGCUGAGGCUCGAAAGCGUGGGGAGCAAACAGGAUUAGAUACCCUGGUAGUCCC
rnacentral:rRNA from 1 species